rnacentral:tRNA from 1 species
AGCUCCGAGGUGGUUCUCAUAUUGGAUUGCAAAUCCAAAGAAGUCGGUUAAUUCCCGACCGGGGCUU